rnacentral:lncRNA from 1 species
GCGAUGGUCACAGGUAUAAGCUGUUAGCUAGAGCAAUUUCAGCAGUUGGGAGGUGAGCAUAUCAACCCACAAGGUUGUCUGAGAGGGACAACAACUUCUGCUGUUAGUUUACUUUUGGGUAUAAACGUGAACUUUGAGGAAAGAGUUAAAUUCAAUUAAAAACAAAUUCGUUGAGUGUCUACUAUGUGCAAAACAAUAUGUUGUGGCAAAAGGGGGACGCAAUGUGAAAGAUCUGUUGCCCUCGAGAAGAAACGACCCUGCAUAUCAGCAAGGUAUCUUUUCCUGAAGCCGGUCUUCAUUAACAGGCUUGUACAGACAGGGUUUCACCAUGCUGGCCAGGCUGGUCUCGAAUCUCUGACCUCGUGAUCCACCGUCUUCGGCCUCCCAAAGUGCUGGAAUUACAGGUAUGAGCCACCGUGCCCAGCCUCUUCCUUCUUUAUCGCCACACUGGGAGGCCCACGAGGGGUGUGGACAGGGCUGCCUGGUUCAUGUGCUGUCUGCAGGGCUCCCAUGGCCCCCAAAACCCAGGACAGCAACUACUCAAUAGCACGUUGAAUCUGUGCAAGAAAAAACAAAUCAAAGAGGGAGCCAACAGAAACUAUUUGGAAAGAAAAUCAACAUAUCUAUGUUAACAACUGACUUUCAUUCAGCAAAUAUUUAUGCAGUGAGGAUUAGGCAUCCCGCAGAGGGCUGGGCGUGGAGACGGCCUCUGGUUUGUCUUUCCCCUCCCCACCCCACAUAACCAUGUCCAGCUUAGCUGCCUUUCCAUCCACUGCUCAACCUCCAUCGGGGACCUCCUUUUAUCCAUAUUUUUC